AGCGCAGGCGGGAAGACAAGUUGGAAGUGAAAUCUAUGGGCUCAACCCAUAAACUGCUUUCAAAACUGUUUUUCUUAAGUAGUGCAGAGGUAGGCGGAAUUCCCGGUGUAGCGGUGGAAUGCGUAGAUAUCGGGAGGAACACCAGUGGCGAAGGCGGCCUACUGGGCACCAACUGACGCUGAGGCUCGAAAGUGUGGGUAGCAAACA
rnacentral:rRNA from 1 species